ACACUGUAAAUGUUAGUCAUGGAGGAUGUGUACCAACAUGGAAGAGUGUUUACAAUGUAUCUUUAGAGAAAAGAUGGACUAUCCAAGUAUGCAUACUGGAAUUAUCAUUAGAUUACCAUACAUCUGGGUGAGGAGCAGAACAGAGACAUAAGUAACAGCAACCGUGAACCUCAGAGGCAGCCAAGGGCUGGAGUGCAAUGGCACCAUCGCGGCUCACUGCAACCUCCACCUCCUGGGUUCAAGCGAUUCUCCUGCCUCAGCCUCCCGAGUAGCUGGGAUUACAGGUGCCCACCACCACGCCCAGCUAAUUUGUGUAUUUUUAGUAGAGACGGGUUUCACCAUGCUGGCCUCGAACUCCUGACUUCAGGUGAUCCACCUGCCUCGGCCUCCCAAAGUGCCGGGAUUACAGGGGAAGCCAGCCACCAUGUCAUAAGGACAAAGCAGCCCUGAGGAGAACCAAUCCCUUGGGGAGGAACUCGGCCCCCAGUCAGCAGCCAAUACCAACUUGCCCAUGUGUGAGUUAGUCACCUUGAAAGUGGAUCUGCUGUCCCAGCCAAGCCUUCAGAUGAGACCACAGCUCUGGCCAACACCUGACUGCAGCCUCAUGAGAG
rnacentral:lncRNA from 1 species